CAGCCGCCGCGGGAAUACGGAGGGAGCUAGCGUUGUUCGGAAUUACUGGGCGUAAAGCGCACGUAGGCGGUUACUCAAGUCAGAGGUGAAAGCCCGGGGCUCAACCCCGGAACUGCCUUUGAAACUAGGUGACUAGAAUCUUGGAGAGGUCAGUGGAAUUCCGAGUGUAGAGGUGAAAUUCGUAGAUAUUCGGAAGAACACCGGUGGCGAAGGCGACUGACUGGACAAGUAUUGACGCUGAGGUGCGAAAGCGUGGGGAGCAAACAGGAUUAGAUACCCCCGUAGUCCCUGUCUCUUAUAC
rnacentral:rRNA from 1 species